rnacentral:rRNA from 1 species
GACGAAGGGGGCUAGCGUUGUUCGGAAUUACUGGGCGUAAAGCGUGUGUAGGUGGUUGUCACAGUCAGGUGUGAAAGCCUUGAGCUCAACUCAAGAAAUGCACUUGAUACUAGGCGACUAGAGGACCGGAGAGGAUAGUGGAAUUCCCAGUGUAGUGGUGAAAUACGUAGAGAUUGGGAAGAACACCAGUGGCGAAGGCGGCUAUCUGGACGGUUUCUGACGCUAAGACGCGAAAGCGUGGGGAGCAAACAGG